UGAGUAAUUUCAAUUCACCUUUAAAGUGAUUUUUGUCGCUUGACAAUUAAAUGACUGUUUCUUUGUUCUUGGUCGUAAAUCCAUGAUUGUCAUCUGAUGAACACCCUCCUUUAUUUUCAGCUCAGUGCAGACAUCUUCACUUCUGGCUCCUGGCUUAUUGUAACUAUAUUGCUCUGGUCACUGUGACUCAGGAAUGGAAAAACCCAGUCAAGGGAAAUGAAAUGCAAGGAGAAUUUCUGGAACCAUUGAAAGAAAGCUGUGUCCAUUGGGUCAGCCAUGAGAGGAGAGAAUAUAGUGUGGUCUACUGUUCCGUCUGCUGUGCCAGCCACUAG
rnacentral:lncRNA from 1 species